rnacentral:rRNA from 1 species
GCAGGCUGCAACCCGCCUGCAUGAAGCCGGAAUCGCUAGUAAUCGCGGAUCAGAAUGCCGCGGUGAAUACGUUCCCGGGUCUUGUACACACCGCCCGUCACACCAUGGGAGUCGAUAACGCCCGAAGUCAGUGACCCAACCGAAAGGAGGGAGCUGCCGAAGGCGGGAUGGAUAACUGGGGUGAAGUCGUAACAAGGUAUC